GGGGCUGUGACUCAAUGGCAGAUCAGCUGCUUUGCGUGCAGAAGGUCCCGGGUUCAAUCCCUGGAACCACCA
rnacentral:tRNA from 1 species